rnacentral:rRNA from 1 species
UACGGGGGGGGCAAGCGUUGUUCGGAAUUACUGGGCGUAAAGGGCUCGUAGGGGGCCAACUAAGUCAGACGUGAAAUCCCUCGGCUUAACCGGGGAACUGCGUCUGAUACUGGAUGGCUUGAGUUUGGGAGAGGGACGCGGAAUUCCAGGUGUAGCGGUGAAAUUCGUAGAUAUCGGGAGGAACACCAGUGGCGAAGGCGGAGGCCUGGGCCGAUACUGACGCUGAGGUGCGAAAGCGUGGGGAGCAAACAGG